rnacentral:lncRNA from 1 species
GGUAAAGCCAAGACAGGCUGGAACUCACCUGUGACCACCCAGCUCGAGACAACAGAACUGCCAUGCUGCUGUGUCCACCCAGACAGCAGACCUACCUGCUGUUUUCAUCAAUCACUGUGCUGACAGAGCAGACUCGUGACUAUCGUAAAAGGACAUUUCAAUCAUGUGAAACAUCCUGUUUGGGGGUAUAUAACCACUCUGUGCACCCCACUUCUUCAGUGCCCUUUCUUCCUUUGGGGGGAAAGGCCCCGGGCCACGGUCCUCACAUUUUAGCUCAGAAUAAACUCUCCCAAAUUUUCAUUUAUAGAUUGGUUAUGGAUUAUUUUCGUGGACAGGCCCCACAGUGAGAGCGGGACGUCAGUCAGGCUGCCCGGGACCACCCCGGCCACAGGACUCGCCGGAGGCAGCCUUGAAGAAGCUCAAUAACCAGUUUAUGAAUUUCACAGGCAACACAUAAACAAUUAAAGACCUCUUCUGAGGCUCCCUACUUCCCACGCUGAUCCUGAGGCUGCUUCCCCUAAAAACGUGCUUGCAUGGAGUUUCCUCCACCACCAAUGAACAGGGCGAGCGGCACUGCUUUCACAUCACGCCAGAAAAUGAAAGCCCCGUCUCAGGGCCACUUCAGAUCCCUGAGACUUCUAAGUACUGAUGGUCCUUCCCAACUCAAGGUCACCCAGGCUUCUUGGCUCAAGAUGAAAGCAGUUUCAUCGGGAUUUCCUUUGGCUUCAGUUUCCAGGAGCUGGUUCAUCGAUGCGCAUGUGACCCCAGCAGAAGCUUCUCUGGAAUUGCUGUAUGGACACUGGAAUUGCGAACCUGAGCAAAUGGGGGCCUGGAGCCCGUCUCAUCUGCCGUGUGGAGAAUAAGUUUGCGUCAGGAGGCCCAAGAGCAGUAGAGCCGAGCGGGGGAGGAGCGAGCCCUGCUCCCGGCCUGAGGACGCCUUGGAGCGGGUCUGAAGCCGGAUCCUCCCCUGGACAUCUUGUCACAGCGCCCAACGAUGUCCCAUUUCGCUCAUACCAGUUCAAGUGGGGUUUCUGUCAGGACUGAAGGCGCCCUGCCUGCUCUUGUCUAAUCUGAGGCCCCGUCUCUGUCACUCAGUCCGCCCCCCGCGGGGCUCAGUGGUCUUGUGAUGUUCUUAACAAACACCUGGUCUUGACAUGUCCCUGCUCAAUGUCCUAAACGCCUGUCGCCCACACGAUAAAAUAUAAACUCUGCACGCGGCGUUCCAGGCCUGCCACGAUGUGUCUCCUCCUGCCCGUGGGGCCUGUCUCCAGCCACUCUCCCUCCCAGAUUUUGACCGAGUGACAUUGAACUUGCUGGUCCCAAGCUCUCCCUGGCCUCUGAGCCUUUCUCCAGUUCUGUAUUCCUGAGAUGCCCUCCCCCUGCUUUGAGCUCAAAUGUCAUCUCCUCUGGAAAGUUUUCUUUUGCUUCCUUAGAUAGAAUUUAUUGCUUAUUCUCCUCUGCUCCCACGCUGUCCCCAUUUGGGUAAUCUUAUAGCAUGUCUUCGUUUUGGCCUUCUGUGACAGAGUAUCAGCUCGCUGAGAGCAGGGGAAGGCGUCUGUCUGCUGUCUUCACGCUUGGCCAGCAAAGCGCUCAAUGGGCACUCAAUAAACAUAUGGUGCAUGAGAGAAUGAGCGAAGGGUCAACACCAUCUCAGAGAGAAACCCCUCUCCUGGCUUCUCUCCAUACGCAGCUCCUCACCACCCAAUUUCCCCACAGGUUCUUAAACCUGUGCCAAAACUUAAAACUCCGUGUCUUUUCAAGACUACAGGUGUCUUAAAAGUCCUUAUCUGAGAUUUAAUGUUCUCAUAAGGCUUCUGAGGCAAGAGCCAGUUCUGAAGCCCAUUGGGCCUGCUGGACACCACAGCUGAAGGCACGUUGUGGACUGGGGAGAGAGGCUCCAGCCCUAACUUCCCUUAAUUGUUUACAAAAGUAUAAGCAUCUUUAAGAGGAAAGGAAUUGAAUACAAGAUACGUCAGAUGGUCCAUCAGGCUGAAGGGGCCCCUGCGGUGUGGACUGACUGUCCUCGGUUGCCUUAUCAGGUGGUGACAGUGACAACUCUCAGAACCUCAGUCGGUUUUCUCUGGGCUAAGACCCACAUGCUCCAUGGCCAUUUGGGAAGGGAGUGUAGGCUUGUUGGCUUUCCUGUUGUGUAGUGUGUGGUUUCUCUUACUGGCCAUCAGAGUAGAGCCCUGAAAGAGAGCUAGGUCCCUUCUUGCUAACCCCUGACACAGAGGUGCAGACACUAACCUAUGACGUUAGAUAGCUCUCGUGCAUACUGAUGGCUGAAUCAAAGCGGGGGGGAAAUGGGAGGCCACUGUAAAGGCAUAAGAAUACCUUUCAUUUACACUUUCUGGGGAACUAACCAGUAUCCUGUUAGCCUGAAAAAGUUAUUGAAACUUCCCAGAGGUGUCCAACUUACCCCCAGGAAAUAAUCUAGAUCUUUUCACGUUAUUUCAUUAUCUCAUAUGAUCUCACAAUUUUUCUGAGAAUAAGGUAGAGCAAGCAGGUGUGCUUUUUAUUUUGAAGAAAGAGAAAUGGACACAGAGGGAUUAAGAAGGGCAUUUCCCAAGGCUUGAGAGGGACCAUGCAGCCAGGGAGAGAAGGCCACUCUUGAGUCCAGCCCACGGGUCUUCAACCUUUGCUGCCUGCAUAGCCCCCAGAAGAAAGUGUAAAACUAGAAGAAGAAUGAAGACUGGAAAGGUGAAGCGACUUGUCAAGGUCACGAAUCGAAUCCAUGACAAUCCUGUGUUUGUGGUCAGUGGAAAAUCUCGAGCUCCCUUCAGUCCAGGUAAAUUCCACAUCCAUUGCCCUUUAUAGUAGUCCCAGUUUGAUAGCUGCCGCUGAGAAAUGUCCCCGCCCCAUACCCGGGUAACUUCCCAACAAAGCCUUAGCAUGUACAUAAAAAGUGAAAUAAAAAAUGUUUCUUUUGCCUUCUAUUUACGAAUUCCCUUGGAAUUCACAGGAAAUGUGUUUCAUAACAGAAACAACUAGUCAGUUGGGUCAUUUAGAGUGGCCACCUCUACAACCCAAAAUGUGGUUUCUUGUUUUCAGCUUGGAGAGUGUGAAUGGAAUUUUUAAUGAAUGGGAGUCUUCCAUGCUUUCACUGUGAAUUUAAUAUCUGUAAUGGAGCCCAGAGGCCAAAUUUCCCAUAAACGGUGAGCAGGAUUAAUGGUCAAG